rnacentral:ncRNA from 20 species
GUUGGUGAACCAGCGGAGGGAUCAUUA